rnacentral:rRNA from 1 species
UACGUAGGGGGCUAGCGUUGUCCGGAAUCAUUGGGCGUAAAGAGCGUGUAGGCGGCCCGGUAAGUCCGCUGUGAAAGUCGGGGGCUCAACCCUCGAAUGCCGGUGGAUACUGUCGGGCUAGAGUGCGGAAGAGGCGAGUGGAAUUCCUGGUGUAGCGGUGAAAUGCGCAGAUAUCAGGAGGAACACCGAUUGCGAAGGCAGCUCGCUGGGACGUAACUGACGCUGAGACGCGAAAGCGUGGGGAGCAGACAGG